GUCACAGCGGAGCGGGAAACACCCGGACACAUUCCGAACCCGGAAGUUAAGCCCUCCAGCGCCGAUGGUACUGCCCCGGAGACGGGGUGGGAGAGUAGGACACCGCCGGAC
rnacentral:rRNA from 1 species